rnacentral:rRNA from 1 species
CUGGCGGCGUGCCUAAUACAUGCAAGUCAACGGUCUUUCUAUGGAAGCUUGCUUCCACUGAGAAGAUAGUGGCGAACGGGUGAGUAACACGUGGGUAGCCUGCCCAUAAGAGGGGGAUAACAUCCGGAAACGGGUGCUAAUACCGCAUAGUUUUCUUGAUCGCAUGAUCGGGAAAGGAAAGACGGCCUUUGUGCUGUCGCUUAUGGACGGACCCGCGGCGUAUUAGUUAGUUGGUGAGGUAACGGCUCACCAAGACGAUGAUACGUAGCCGACCUGAGAGGGUGAUCGGCCACAUUGGGACUGAGACACGGCCCAAACUCCUACGGGAGGCAGCAGUAGGGAAUCUUCCGCAAUGGACGAAAGUCUGACGGAGCAACGCCGCGUGAGUGAAGAAAAGGUUUUCGGAUCGUAAAACUCUGUUGUCAGAGAAGAACAAGUUGGAGAGUAACUGCUCCAGCCUUGACGGUAUCUGACCAGAAAGCCACGGCUAACUACGUGCCAGCCGCCGC